rnacentral:rRNA from 1 species
GACGAACGCUGGCGGCGUGCCUAAUACAUGCAAGUCGAGCGCAGAAGGGUGGUACUUGUACCAACUGGAUGAGCAGCGAACGGGUGAGUAACACGUGGGUAAUCUGCCUUUGAGCGGGGGACAACAUUUGGAAACGAAUGCUAAUACCGCAUAAAAACUUUAAACACAAGGUUUAAGUUUGAAAGAUGGAAUUGCAUCACUCAAAGAUGAUCCCGCGUUGUUUUAGCUAGUUGGUAAGGUAAAGGCCUACCAAGGCAACGAUACAUAACCGCCCGGAGAGGGGAACGGGCCACACUGGAACGGGGCACCGCCCCAGCUCCUUCGGGGGGCAGCAGGAAGGAAACUUUGGGAAAUGAGGGAAGUCUUACCGGGCCACGCCGCGGGGGGGAAGGAGGGUUUCGGAUCGUAAAACUCCGUUGAUAGGGAAGAACGUAGGGUGUAAUUGAAAGUGCACGACUUGACGGUAACUACUCAGAAAGCGACGGCUAACUACGUG